rnacentral:rRNA from 1 species
UGCGGAAGAGAUAAGUGCUGAAAGCAUCUAAGCACGAAACUUGCCCCGAGAUGAGUUCUCCCUGACCCUUUAAGGGUCCUGAAGGAACGUUGAAGACGACGACGUUGAUAGGCCGGGUGUGUAAGCGCAGCGAUGCGUUGAGCUAACCGGUACUAAUGAACCGUGAGGCUUAACCUUAC